CAAAGGGGGUUGGAGAGGAAGAGGUGAGUUCAGAAAUAUUCAGGAGGUGGUGGAGGAACUGGGGACUUACUAGUAGGUGUGGGAGAUGAGGCAGAAGGAGAAGGCUAUGCCUGGGUUUCUGACAUGGGGAUGGGUGUGAAUACAAAAUGGAAGCCUGUAUGUGGUGGUAUCACCCUAACUUGCCUCAGCAGAUCCCCAGCAAAGGGAGUCCUGGGACCUCGUCUUAGCAGGUGACUCAUCAGACCUGAAAUCAAAGGAAUCAGAAUGACAGCAGGUGGAGACGCGGCAGCUUGUCUCUCGCUGGGAUGUCAGUAGCUGCCCUUUGCUGGUCUCCCCACACCAGUGUUGCUGCUCCCCACCCCCAUCCUCCUCCCAGCAUCCUGAGGGACCAGAUUAUAAACCUGAAGGUGUCACACCAUUGCUCACAGCUCUCAGAGACUUCCUACUCUUUUUGGGCUGCUCUCUCUCUCUCUUCCCUGCAGCUAGAGAUGCCAGAAGCCACUGCAGCCAUCCUGGCCCACCUCUGCUGUCUCACACACAGGCCUCCGCCUGGAUGUUCCUGAACGCUGGAGACGGCCCCAGGACUGAGACAGGAGCCCAGGGUUCCCCCUUUAUGCCUCAUUUGCUGUGAGCCCUGCUCAUCUCCCAGCCUCAGCUUUCCCUCUGUAAAGUGAGGGAAGAUCUCAAGGCUCCUUCGGCCCAGACACUCCAGCCCCAGCUCCCCGAAACCCCACUCGCUGUGGGUGGCGCAGGCCAGAGUCACCCACAGCCACAGGAAAGAAUGUGUUGCCCUUGACAACCAUUCUUCUCCUUGACUUCUCCCUCUAAGGGACCGAGAAGAAUGUCCCAUUAGUCAUCCUGGCCUCUCCCUCCCCACCUCCACCCCUCCCUGCUCCUCGUGGAGGAGGCCCAAAGCCCCCAGGAGUAACUCAUGAAAACUCCAGGCUCAGCUCUGCUUUCUCAGCCCUGUGCAUGGAGCCCUGUCCCUGUCUGAGCUCUAACUCCAAGGGACCAGGGCAGUGGGAGUUCCCAGGGCAGGUGGGAUGGACAUGGGGGCUAAGGGUGGGGGGAUGGGCAGGAAGGGUGGGAAGCUGAGAGUGGGCUCAGGUCAUCAGACAUCUAUGGGCGCCUCUUCCAUGUGGGGUCCUCUGCUGGACACAGCUGGGGUGCAGAUAAAACUGGGCACAGAAAGUACAGUUCGGGGGGAGGGGACCUGUGAUGGGGGCAACAAGACAGGUUUAGGGUUAGGGUUAAG